rnacentral:rRNA from 1 species
GUAUCGCAUGAUAUAGCAAUUAAAGGAAGGCAAUGCGCUAUAAGAUGGACCCGCGUCGCAUUAGCUAGUUGGUGAGGUAAUGGCUCACCAAGGCGACGAUGCGUAGCCGUCCUGAGAGGGUGAUCGGCCACAUUGGGACUGAGACACGGCCCAGACUCCUACGGGAGGCAGCAUG